AUUGAACGCUGGCGGCAGGCCUAACACAUGCAAGUCGAGCGAGCGGCGGACGGGUGAGUAAUUUCUGGGAAACUGCCUGAUGGAGGUGGAUAACUCCUCGAUACGGUAGCUAAUACCGCAUACCAUCAGAUGUGCCCAGAUGGGAUUAGCUGGUAGGUGGGGUAACGGCUCACCUAGGCGACGAUCCCUAGCUGGUCUGAGCGGAUGACCAGCCACACAGGAAAUGAGACACGGUCCAGACUCCUACGAGAGGCAGCAGUGGGGAAUAGUGCACAAUGGGCGCAAGCCUGAUGCAGCCAGGCCGCGUGUGUGAAGAAGGCCUUCGGGUUGUAAAGCACGUUCAGCGGAGAGGCGUUACCCGCAGAAGAAGCACCGGCUAACUCCGUGCCAGCAGCCGCGGUAAUUC
rnacentral:rRNA from 1 species